UGUGUAGGCGGCUCUCUAAGUUUGGUGUGAAAUCUCCCGGCUCAACCGGGAGGGUGCGCCGAAGACUGGAGGGCUAGAGUGCGGGAUGGGAGAGUAGAAUUCCUGGUGUAGCGGUGAAAUGCGUAGAUAUCAGGAGGAAUACCGGUGGUGUAGACGGCUCUCUGGACCGCAACUGACGCUGAAACACGAAAGCGUGGGUAGCAAACAGGAUUAGAUACCCUGGUAGUCCACGCCCUAAACGAUGCAUAUUUGGUGUAGGUCAUUCAGUUGAUCUGUGCCGGAGCUAACGCGUUAAAUAUGCCGCCUGGGGAGUACAGUCGCAAGGCUGAA
rnacentral:rRNA from 1 species